rnacentral:rRNA from 1 species
AUGCUGUUUUCUAUCAGUCCCAAGUGGAUACUCCCCAACUUCCACGGUCCGCUUACCGAGGAAGAGAUGCGGGAGGACCCAGGGCUAGAGCAAGUUGGGUUGGCGUAUAGAGCCGUAAGCACGGUGGGGGUGAUAGAGGAUGUGCUCGUACGGUUCAUAGUUGGGUAUGAUAUUCUUGUGGAUUGUUGGGAACGUCCUCUAUAUUCGAAAUAUGCCUUUCUAGGAGCAUUAUGA